CAGUCGCCGCGGGAAUACGAAGGGGGCUAGCGUUGCUCGGAAUGACUGGGCGUAAAGGGCGCGCAGGCGGUUUGUACAGUUGGAUGUGAAAUUCCUGGGCUUAACCUGGGGGCUGCAUUCAAUACGUGCAGGCUUGAGUGUGGAAGAGGGUUGUGGAAUUCCCAGUGUAGAGGUGAAAUUCGUAGAUAUUGGGAAGAACACCGGUGGCGAAGGCGGCAACCUGGUCCAUUACUGACGCUGAGGCGCGAAAGCGUGGGGAGCAAACAGGAUUAGAUACCCCAGUAGUCCCUGUCACUUAUAC
rnacentral:rRNA from 1 species